CCCCAAAAACCCAAAUGUUAAAAAUUUCAAGAAUGACUUAUUUUUAUAUGGUGUGACAUUAAGGUAACUGAGUUAGCGAACUUGGUUUUAAAUACAAGUUAGUAUGUGAAACGAAAUAAAUGACAAGUUUUAAAAGUUUAAGGGGUUAAAAGGAAAAUGUGUUAAAUAAAACACUUUACAAAAAAAUAAUGUCAGUAUCUUGGGGGGGUUCUAUGCGUGCGAUCGAGAACAGGGCCAAGAGAAGAGCCAAAAACCCUAACAACCAAAAAUCAUCAAAUUGAUAAGGAGAUCAAGGGAAAAAUCGAAUGCAUGGGUCUCGAUACUCUUUAAUCUAAGUGUAUUGAUCAUAAGGAACGUGUCAAGGAGAGCUCAAGCAUAGGAGGAUAACGGGUCAAGAUAAGGCAAGGUGACAAAUACACUUAUUGGAGUACUCAAGGAACAUGUCAAGGAGAGCUCAAGCAUAGGAGGAUAACGGGUCAAGAUAAGGCAAGGUGACAAAUACACUUAUUGGAGUACUCAAGGUUAUGAAUGUCGGACUUUCAAAGUGUUGAUAUAAUAAUGAAACGGUUGAAUCUUGAAAGGAUAAUCGGAUUGAAGUAACUUAUGCGGUUAGAAUAUGCUGUGGACGUUUUAGUUUUUACAACAUUUUAUGUUUGGUCGUCAUCAUCUACCAACAGGUUAGUUGUUUGAAAAUAUAUGUCAUACCCAUUAAAUUGGGUAAUCGAAUGCGCGAGAGAAAUGAAAGUACAUACACGAACGGAACUAAAGUGACGGUUUUAUAAGUAAAUAAGUAAAUGACUAACUUUUUAAAGCUUUGUUGUUGAAUGUAGGUAAAUCCUCAAUUCAGGCGACUUGGAGAAUCGGAGCAAGCGCGUGUUCAUGUUAUGUCAUACCAAACGCUUCCGCUAGUUUGUCCAAAUGUUUUUGGUCCAAAAUUUGUUGCAACGGUUUUUAGUAGUAUUUUGUUGAACGAAUCGUAGAAUUGUAUCUAGUUUGAUUAUGAUUAAAACAGGGGUAUGCCCGUUUUACGGACGGGUCAUGCCCAAAUUUUGUUAAAAUUAAUGCAUAUGCUAUUGAUAUCA